rnacentral:rRNA from 1 species
AUUGAACGCUGGCGGCAGGCCUAACACAUGCAAGUCGAGCGGGGUUUUCGGACCUAGCGGCGGACGGGUGAGUAAUGCGUAGGAAGCUACCCGAUAGAGGGGGAUACCAGUUGGAAACGACUGUUAAUACCGCAUAAUGUCUACGGACCAAAGUGUGGGACCUUCGGGCCACAUGCUAUCGGAUGCGCCUACGUGGGAUUAGCUAGUUGGUGAGGUAAUGGCUCACCAAGGCGACGAUCCCUAGCUGGUUUGAGAGGAUGAUCAGCCACACUGGAACUGAGGCACGGUCCAGACUCCUACGGGGGGCAGCAGUGGGGAAUAUGGGACAAUGGGCGCAAGCCUGAUCCAGCCAUGCCGCGUGUGCGAAGAAGGCCUUCGGGUUGUAAAGCACUUUCAGUAGGGAGGAAGCGUUGUGUGUUAAUAGUACACAGCGUUGACGUUACCUACAGAAGAAGCACCGGCUAACUCCGUGCCAGCCGCCGCCGUAAAAC